rnacentral:rRNA from 1 species
AACGAACGCUGGCGGCAUGCCUAACACAUGCAAGUCGAACGAAGCCUACGGGCUUAGUGGCGCACGGGUGCGUAACGCGUGGGAAUCUGCCCUUUGGUUCGGAAUAACAGUUAGAAACGACUGCCAAUACCGGAUGAUGACGAAAGUCCAAAGAUUUAUCGCCAGAGGAUGAGCCCGCGUAGGAUUAGCUAGUUGGUGUGGUAAAGGCGCACCAAGGCGACGAUCCUUAGCUGGUCUGAGAGGAUGAUCAGCCACACUGGGACUGAGACACGGCCCAGACUCCUACGGGAGGCAGCAGUGGGGAAUAUUGGACAAUGGGCGAAAGCCUGAUCCAGCAAUGCCGCGUGAGUGAUGAAGGCCCUAGGGUUGUAAAGCUCUUUUACCCGGGAUGAUAAUGACAGUACCGGGAGAAUAAGCCCCGGCUAACUCCGUGCCAGCAGCCGCCGUAA